AACGAACGCUGGCGGCAGGCUUAACACAUGCAAGUCGAACGCCCCGCAAGGGGAGUGGCAGACGGGUGAGUAACGCGUGGGAAUCUACCCAAUUCUACGGAAAAACCCAGGGAAACUUGGACUAAUACCGUAUACGCCCUACGGGGGAAAGAUUUAUCGGAAUUGGAUGAGCCCGCGUAAGAUUAGCUAGUUGGUGGGGUAAUGGCCUACCAAGGCGACGAUCUUUAGCUGGUCUGAGAGGAUGAUCAGCCACACUGGGACUGAGACACGGCCCAGACUCCUACGGGAGGCAGCAGUGGGGAAUAUUGGACAGUGGGCGCAAGCCUGAUCCAGCCAUGCCGCGUGAGUGAUGAAGGCCUUAGGGUUGUAAAGCUCUUUCAGUGGGGAAGAUAAUGACGGUACCCACAGAAGAAGCCCCGGCUAACUUCGUGCCAGCCGCCGCGGUAA
rnacentral:rRNA from 1 species